AAAAACCUGCGUUAUUCGUGAUAUUAAAUUAAUUUGAACCUAAUUAUAUUUAGGGAGUUAAUCCAUUUGUGGCGUACGAGCCGGACAUGAUUCGGAUAUAUAAAGCAACUAAGGUAGAUUCCCACCUGGACAAAGGUUCGGGAAAGAUUAAUACACGGUAUCGCGGGUUUUUU
rnacentral:other from 1 species